rnacentral:rRNA from 1 species
CCUACGGGAGGCUGCAGUGAGGAAUAUUGGUCAAUGGGCGUAAGCCUGAACCAGCCAAGUCGCGUGAGGGAUGAAGGUUCUAUGGAUCGUAAACCUCUUUUAUAAGGGAAUAAAGUGUGGGACGUGUCCUGUUUUGUAUGUACCUUAUGAAUAAGGAUCGGCUAACUCCGUGCCAGCAGCCGCGGUAAUACGGAGGAUCCGAGCGUUAUCCGGAUUUAUUGGGUUUAAAGGGUGCGUAGGCGGCCUUUUAAGUCAGCGGUGAAAGUCUGUGGCUCAACCAUAGAAUUGCCGUUGAAACUGGGAGGCUUGAGUGUGCUUGAGGUAGGCGGAAUGCGUGGUGUAGCGGUGAAAUGCUUAGAUAUCACGCAGAACCCCGAUUGCGAAGGCAGCCUGCCGGGCCAUGACUGACGCUGAUGCACGAAAGCGUGGGGAUCAAACAGGAUUAGAUACCCCAGUAGUC